rnacentral:rRNA from 1 species
UACGGGGGGGGCAAGCGUUGUUCGGAAUUACUGGGCGUAAAGCGCACGUAGGCGGCUAUUUAAGUCGGGGGUGAAAUCCCGGGGCUCAACCCCGGAACUGCCUUCGAUACUGGGUAUCUUGAGUUCGGAAGAGGUGAGUGGAAUUGCGAGUGUAGAGGUGAAAUUCGUAGAUAUUCGCAGGAACACCAGUGGCGAAGGCGGCUCACUGGUCCGAUACUGACGCUGAGGUGCGAAAGCGUGGGGAGCAAACAGG